rnacentral:tRNA from 1 species
GUCCAGGAUAGCCUAGUGGACAUGGCACCUGCCCGGUAGGCAGAAGGUUGUGGGUUCGAUUCCCGCUCCUCGACA